UUACCAUAUGCGGGGCGGGGUUCAAAGCCCCUAGUGAGAGUGAUUUGAGGGGACCCAUUUUGUCUCAAAUGGUGGAUGAUGUGAAAAAGGAUUUAGAUGAACAACGCCACAUAUGGAGCACUAAAGGUUGCACCAUCAUGACUGAUGGUUGGACGGAUAGGAGAAAUAGAACUCUCCUUAAUUUUCUUGUUUCUUCCGCAGGGGGCACCAUUUUCAUCAAGUCCAUUGAUGCCUCCGCCCAUUGCAAGAAUGCCACCUACCUAUGUGAGCAGAUAGAGGAGGUGAUUGAAGAUGUGGGUGAGGAGAACGUGGUAUAGGUGGUGACCGACAAUGCAACAAAUUAUGUUGCUGCGGGUAGACUAUUGAUGGAGAGGCACCCAUCUAUAGUUUGGACUCCAUGUGCUGCUCAUUGCAUUGACCUCAUGUUGGAGGAUAUUGGAAAAAUCCCAUGGGUCAAGAGAUGUGUAGAAAGGGCAAGAAAUGUCUGCAAAUUUGUAUAUAAUCAUUCAUGGGUGUUGGCUCUUAUGAGACAAUACACAGAGCAGAAGGAGUUGCAUCGUCCAGGAAUCACAAGAUUUGCCACAAACUUCCUCACAUUGCAGUCCAUGCUUAGGUCUAAGUUUGCCUUGAGAUGGGAUAGAGAUGGCAGACUGCAUUUUUUAUGAGCAA